rnacentral:tRNA from 1 species
GGGGAUGUAGCUCAGUGGUAGAGUGCUUGCCUAGCACGUGAGAGACCCUGGGUUCGAUCCUCAGCACCA